GUAUCUCUAGGGACAUCCGGGAUGAAAUUGAAAUGAUACUGAGAAGAUCAGCAUGGCCCCUGCGCAAGGAUGGUGUGCACAAAUCGAGAAACGAUCCCAAGAAAC